UGAAGCCGGAAUUGCUAGUAAUGGCAGGUCAGCAUACUGCCGUGAAUACGUUCCCGGGCCUUGUACACACCGCCCGUCACACCAUGAGAGUUGGGAAUACCCGAAGCCUGUGAGCUAACUUUUAGAGGCAGCAGUCGAAGGUAGAAUCAAUGAUUGGGGUGAAGUCGUAACAAGGUAAC
rnacentral:rRNA from 1 species